GAGAUUAACCUAACACAAGGCCGGGAUAUGUUUCGCUGGAACCUUACUACAUUGGGGUCUUUCACGGUAGACUCCAUGUACCGUGCACUCAUGCAUUCUGAGGUACCGGUGAAUAAUAAUAAGAAACUAUGGAAGUCGAAGAUUCCACUAAAGGUCAAAAUCUUCAUGUGUAAUCUUCGUAGGGGGGUUGUGCUAACCAAAGACAACCUCGCACGGCGCAACUGGCAAGGGAGUAAGAAGUGUUGUUUUUGUACUCAUGACAAGACAAUCAAACACCUUUUUUCAAUGUAA
rnacentral:rRNA from 1 species